GACGUAGGGCGCGAGCGUUGUCCGGAUUUAUUGGGCGUAAAGAGCUCGUAGGCGGCUUGUCGCGUCGUUUCGUGAAAACCCGGGGCUCAACCCCGGGCCUGCAUUCGAUACGGGCAGACUAGAGUUCGGUAGGGGAGUCUGGAAUUCCUGGUGUAGCGGUGAAAUGCGCAGAUAUCAGGAGGAACACCGGUGGCGAAGGCGAGUCUCUGGACGACUCCUGACACUGAGGCACGAAAGCUAGGGGAGCAAACAGG
rnacentral:rRNA from 1 species